rnacentral:rRNA from 1 species
ACCACCGGAAACGGUGGCUAAUACCGGAUAUGACGGGCUCCGGCAUCGGGGUUCGUGGAAAAGUUUUUUCGGCCAGGGAUGUGCUCGCGGCCUAUCAGCUUGUUGGUGGGGUAAUGGCCUACCAAGGCUUCGACGGGUAGCCGGCCUGAGAGGGUGACCGGCCACACUGGGACUGAGACACGGCCCAGACUCCUACGGGAGGCAGCAGUGGGGAAUAUUGGACAAUGGGCGGAAGCCUGAUCCAGCAACGCCGCGUGAGGGAUGACGGCCUUCGGGUUGUAAACCUCUUUCAGUACCGACGAAGCGCCGAUGAUGGUGGUGACGGUAGGUACAGAAGAAGCACCGGCCAACUACGUG